GCUUACACAUGCAAGUCGAGCGGUAACAUUUCUAGCUUGCUAGAAGAUGACGAGCGGCGGACGGGUGAGUAACGCGUAGGAAUCUGCCUAGUAGUGGGGGACAACAUGUGGAAACGCAUGCUAAUACCGCAUACGCCCUACGGGGGAAAGGAGGGGAUCUUCGGACCUUUCGCUAUUAGAUGAGCCUGCGUGAGAUUAGCUAGUUGGUGGGGUAAAGGCCUACCAAGGCGACGAUCUCUAGCUGGUCUGAGAGGAUGAUCAGCCACACUGGGACUGAGACACGGCCCAGACUCCUACGGGAGGCGGCAGUGGGGAAUAUUGGACAAUGGGCGCAAGCCUGAUCCAGCCAUGCCGCGUGUGUGAAGAAGGCCUUAGGGUUGUAAAGCACUUUCAGGAGUGAGGAAGGGUAUGCAGUUAAUACCUGUAUAUCUUGACGUUAACUCCAGAAGAAGCACCGGCUAACUCUGUGCCAGCAGCCGCGGUAAUACAGAGGGUGCGAGCGUUAAUCGGAAUUACUGGGCGU
rnacentral:rRNA from 1 species